rnacentral:rRNA from 1 species
UAGGGAAUCUUCCGCAAUGGACGCAAGUCUGACGGAGCAACGCCGCGUGAGUGAAGAAGGAUUUCGGUUCGUAAAACUCUGUUGUUAGAGAAGAACAGCGCAUAGAGUAACUGUUAUGCGUGUGACGGUAUCUAACCAGAAAGCAACGGCUAACUACGUGCCAGCAGCCGCGGUAAUACGUAGGUGGCAAGCGUUGUCCGGAUUUAUUGGGCGUAAAGCGAGCGCAGGCGGUCAAUUAAGUCUGAUGUGAAAGCCCCCGGCUCAACCGGAGAGGGUCAUUGGAAACUGGUUGACUUGAGUGCAGAAGAGGAGAGUAGAAUUCCAUGUGUAGCGGUGAAAUGCGUAGAUAUAUGGGGGAACACCAGUGGCGAAGGCGACUCUCUGGUCUGUAACUGACGCUGAGGCUCGAAAGCGUGGGGAGCGAACAGG